UACGUAUGGUGCAAGCGUUAUCCGGAUUUACUGGGUGUAAAGGGAGCGCAGGCGGCGCGUUAAGCCUGGUGUGAAAGCCCGCGGCCCAACCGCGGGACUGCAUUGGGAACUGGCGCGCUGGAGUGCCGGAGGGGUAGGCGGAAUUCCUAGUGUAGCGGUGAAAUGCGUAGAUAUUAGGAGGAACACAGUGGCGAAGGCGGCCUACUGGACGGUGACUGACGCUGAGGCUCGAAAGCGUGGGGAGCAAACAGG
rnacentral:rRNA from 1 species